rnacentral:tRNA from 1 species
GGGGAUUUAGCUCAGUGGUAGAGCGCUUGCCUAGCAAGCACAAGGCCCUGGGUUCGGUCCCAGUUCCG